UACGUAGGAUGCAAGCGUUGCUCGGAAUUAUUGGGUGUAAAGGGCGCGUAGGUGGCCUGAUAAGUCAUAGGUGAAAUCCCUCGGCUUAACCGAGGAAUUGCCCAUGAUACUGUCGGGCUCGAGUACGGGAGAGGGAAGUGGAAUUCCUGGUGUAGCGGUGAAAUGCGUAGAUAUCAGGAGGAACACCGGCGGCGAAGGCGGCUUCCUGGACCGAUACUGACACUGAGGCGCGAAAGCGUGGGUAGCAAACAGG
rnacentral:rRNA from 1 species